CCUACGGGUGGCAGCAGUGAGGAAUAUUGGUCAAUGGGCGCAAGCCUGAACCAGCCAAGUCGCGUGAGGGAAGACGGCCCUACGGGUUGUAAACCUCUUUUGCCGGGGAGCAAGCCUGAGCACGUGUACCAAGGCGGAGAGUCCCCGGCGAAAAAGCAUCGGCUAACUCCGUGCCAGCCGCCGCGGUAAUACGGAGGAUGCGCGCGUUAUCUGGCUUUAUUGGGUUAAAGGGGUGCGCAGGCGGGCUGUUAAGCAGGCGGUAAAAUUUCAGGGCUCAACCCUGUCGAGCCGUCGAACCUGGCAGUCUAGAGUGGGCGAGAAGUAUGCGGAAUGCGUGGUGUAGCGGUGAAAUGCAUAGAUAUCACGCAGAACGCCGAGUGCGAAGGCAGCAUACCGGCGCCCAACUGACGCUGAGGCACGAAAGCGUGGGGAUCGAACAGGAUUAGAUACCCUGGUAGUC
rnacentral:rRNA from 1 species